GGUUGGACGGCACUUGUUGCAAGAAACGGAACCAUCUUCUCCACAGUUUUCACUAGAUUCAUGCCGUUUCUUAGAGCUAGGCUUGCCGUUUUUGUCAUAAAGAGGUGUUGGCAGGUGCUUCGGAGUCUCUUUCUUAUCCACAGAGUCAGUAGGUGUCGCCUUCAUUUGGCUUCUUCCUUCACUGCCUUCAUCUUCUUGUUCUUCUCUAUCACAUUCUUGAAUCUGUCAAAAACAAAUUUAAAAAAUAAAAGUCAAUAAUGAAAAAGAAAAAUUCUUCAACCUUUUCUUUUAACUUGGCAUAAAGUUUUUUUUUUCUCAGGAAACAAACAGGUGUCUACUGUGUGCUUACGGGAGUGAAAUGAGGGGAGUGGUGAGAUGGAUGUGGAGCAGAAGGAAAAGAAGAGGA
rnacentral:lncRNA from 1 species